GUAAGGAAUAUUGGACAAUGGACGCAAGUCUGAUCCAGCCAUGCCGCGUGAAGGAUUAAGGUCCUCUGGAUUGUAAACUUCUUUUAUAAGGGACGAAAAAAGGCUUUUCUAAGUCGUCUGACGGUACCUUAUGAAUAAGCACCGGCUAACUCCGUGCCAGCAGCCGCGGUAAUACGGAGGGUGCAAGCGUUAUCCGGAUUCACUGGGUUUAAAGGGUGCGUAGGCGGGCAGGUAAGUCAGUGGUGAAAUCCUAGAGCUUAACUCUAGAACUGCCAUUGAUACUAUCUGUCUUGAAUAUUGUGGAGGUAAGCGGAAUAUGUCAUGUAGCGGUGAAAUGCUUAGAUAUGACAUAGAACACCUAUUGCGAAGGCAGCUUACUACGCAUAUAUUGACGCUGAGGCACGAAAGCGUGGGGAUCGAACAGGAUUAGAUACCCUUGUAGUCC
rnacentral:rRNA from 1 species